rnacentral:rRNA from 1 species
AACGAACGCUGGCGGCAUGCCUAACACAUGCAAGUCGAACGAGACCUUCGGGUCUAGUGGCGCACGGGUGCGUAACGCGAGGGAACCUGCCCUUAGGUUCGGCAUAACUCCCCGACAGGGGUGCUAAUACCGGAUAAUGUCUUCGGACCAAAGAUUUAUCGCCUUUGGAUGGGCCCGCGUUGGAUUAGCUAGUUGGUAGGGUAAAAGCCUACCAAGGCGACGAUCCAUAGCUGGUUUGAGAGGAUGAUCAGCCACACUGAGACUGAGACUCGGCCCAGACUCCUACGGAAGGCAGCAGUGGGGAAUAUUGGACAAUGGGCGAAAGCCUGAUCCAGCAAUGCCGCGUGAGUGAUGUAGGCCUUAGGGUUGUAAAGCUCUUUUACCCGGGAUGAUAAUGACAGUACCGGGAGAAUAAGCUCCGGCUAACUCCGUG